UACGGAGGGUGCAAGCGUUAAUCGGAAUUACUGGGCGUAAAGGGUGCGUAGGUGGUUUGGUAAGUUAUCUGUGAAAUCCCCAGGCUUAACCUGGGAACUGCGUCGGAUACUGGAUGGCUUGAAUUCGGGAGAGGGAUGCAGAAUUCCAGGUGUAGCGGUGAAAUGCGUAGAUAUCUGGAGGAAUACCGGUGGCGAAGGCGGCAUCCUGGACCGAGAUUGACGCUGAACGGCGAAAGCUAGGGGAGCAAACGGG
rnacentral:rRNA from 1 species